rnacentral:rRNA from 1 species
GACAGAGGGGGCAAGCGUUGCUCGGAAUCACUGGGCGUAAAGGGCGCGUAGGCGGGCUGGCAAGUCGGUCGUGAAAUCCUUCGGCUCAACCGAAGAACGUCGGCCGAUACUGCCGUUCUUGAGGGAUGCAGAGGAGAUUGGAAUUCCCGGUGUAGCGGUGAAAUGUGUAGAGAUCGGGAGGAACACCGGUGGCGAAGGCGGGUCUCUGGGCAGGUACUGACGCUGAGACGCGAAAGCGUGGGUAGCAAACAGG